UACAGAGGGGGCAAGCGUUAUUCGGAAUUAUUGGGCGUAAAGGGCGCGUAGGCGGCUUUGCAAGUGACGGGUGAAAGCCCUCGGCUUAACCGAGGAACUGCCUGUCAGACUGUGAGGCUUGAGACCGGGAGAGGUGAGUGGAAUUCCCAGUGUAGCGGUGGAAUGCGUAGAGAUCCGGAGGAACACCAGUGGCGAAGGCGACACGCUGGGCCAUACCUGACGCUAAAGCGCGACAGCAUGGGGAGCAAACGGG
rnacentral:rRNA from 1 species